rnacentral:misc_RNA from 1 species
AUCAUUUAAUUUGUUGUUCGUCUGCAAAAUCAAAUUUAGGAGCAUGUUAAUAAGAUAAUGUCUUAAAAUUAUUUUUCUUAAAAAAUUAUAUCUAUGAUAUAUACAGUAAAUAUGCAAAAUGGAUAGCAGGCCUGUAGUAACAUGUGCUGGAGAUGAAAAACUUUUUAAUAAUUUAAAGAAAGGCAUAAUAGAUGGCUUACCUGAAGAAUCUAUGGAAUGGAAAAGGUCUCAUAUGAGAAAUCCAAAAACUGUUUACGUGACUGCAAAUUUUGUGCCAUUUUCCGAUGACAAACUGCCUGAUGAAGGAACUAAAAGUUUAUUAGGGCAAGCCUUUUUUCAUAUAUAUUGGACUGAAUGUCAGGACAUUGAUCACUACAAACAAUCUAUUAAGGACAAUAUUAAUGCUUGGCUUACGAAACUGAAAGCAAAAAAGAUUUAUGAUUGGCUAAUUGUGGUUGUGGAUCAUUCAGAAAGUAAAAAAACGAAUAAGACCAAGUUACUGCCUCGUACAACAGUUUUGGAUAAAAUAAAGAGUGACUUUCCAAGUCAAAGUAAUCUGCGUUGCAUAUCAUUGUUGGAUCCUUGUCGAAAUGAUUCUCGAGCUGCUGAAUCUUGGCAGUCCUUACUUCAAAGAAUCCGAAAGUUGAUCCUUCAAGCUUACAGCCGUCAGUUGAGUCAAUUUGAAGAAUAUAUGCGUACACAAAGAGAGCGUCGUAAUGAACAUGGAUGGAGUUUUCAAAAGUUUUUCUUCUUACAGGAAGAAUUAGCAUUUGUUUUAGAAAUGUUAGGACUAUAUGAUGAAGCUUUAGUUCAAUACGAUGAAUUAGAUGCUCUCUUCACACAGUUUGUUAUAAAUUCAAAUGUUGGAGAUAUGCCAGAAUGGUUAAGUUGUUACUCACGAUCAUGUGAUAUUUGGUCAGGAGUGUGUCUUCUUCGAGAAAAGUCAUUACUACUCAGGGAAAAUUUGGUUUCUGGAAAGGCCAGCUUAUUAGAUUUAAGAAACUAUUUAUUUUCCAGACAGUGUGCAUUAUUACUAUUAUUAUGUCGACCUUGGGAAGUUGCUCAAAGGACUCUGCCUUUCCUUCAUAACUGUAUCAGUGAAUUAAGGAUACUGGAAGUAUCUAUGCCACCUGGUUCUGUAGCUUGUUGGGUGUUUCUCAGUUGUUUUGAAGUUUUACAGACUUGUGAAAAAUUCAAUGAUACUUCUCAAAUAAAGGAAUAUUCUUUGUAUUGUGCUGGGUUAUGGGCAUAUGCUAGAGAAAAGCUUCAUCAAUUAGGAAUUCUUUGUGGAUUAAUGCCAGAUCUUGAUGCUAAUUCUGAAAAGCUGCAUAUAGUAGUAGGACUUUUAGCUGGAAUGAGUGAAGAUCCCUAUAGCGAUUCUAAUUCUGAAAGUCCACAUGCUAAAUUGAGAGGCGCUCUUUCAUCUAAAGAAUCUUUUCUGAAGCAUUAUCUGGAGUUAUCAGAAUUGACUAUGGGAACAUUUAAACACAACAGAAGAAUAAGAACUGCACGUUUGAUAGGGAGAGAUUUAGCUCAAUUAUAUAUGAAAAUGAAACAACCUCAGAAAGCUGUAUCUUUUUUGGCUGAUUUAUUGAAAACAUAUCGUGAAGAAAAUUGGGAAACUUUAACUGCUAAUAUACAACAAGAUUUAUAUGAAUGCUAUCUUGCAAUGAACGACAUUCCAAGGUAUCUGAAGACUUGCAUUCGUUUGGCUGCUACAACUCUAUUUACGUUAGACCAAAGAAAAGAUUAUUUCCAAGACAUAAUUGUACACAGUGAAAAUUUAGGUUCAGAAAACUUACUUUUAAGAACAGAGAAGACCUUUUUAGUAAGUGGUGCUAAAAUUGAAUCUUCAGUGACACCUAUCAUUAAAAAUAGUAACAUACUUGUAACAUUUCAUGUUCAAAGUAAUUUACCUAGCGAAAUCAUCUGCCGUAAUGUAAAAUUAAUUUUGAAGAAACAGUCUGCUCCUGCUGUGGAUAAAUCUAAGCAAGUAGAUUCUCAUUAUAUGAGCUCAAAAUCUGGAAUUUCUGCAACUCAUAGUCCUAUGUCACCAAUGCAGUCUGGAGAGCUGGGUAUCCCAUCUAGAGAUGAUAUGCCUCAGCGAAUUUUAGUUCAUCCUCAGCUCAUCAUAGGUUCAUAUCGUUUAGAAGGAUCACAGAUUUAUUCAGUUAUGUGCAAAAAUACCCAUCAAGUUUUGAGACGCAGAGAUAGUCAAGGGUUUCAUAAAGAUGACAUUACUGAAGAGGAAGGUGGGCCUUAUUUCAAAAGUAGUAUGGUCAAACUUAUUCCAGGGCACAAUGUUGUUACAAUAACAGUUAAGGCAACUGAACCAGGGUUAUACACUUUUCAUCGCCUCUGGUUUGAAUGGGGCAAUAUUCAUUUUGCAUUAUCCAAUCUUUCACCUUUAUUUUCAUUCCUUGUUUCUGAAGAGCCUCCUGCUGUCAAUAUGAAACCUGUGAAUGGUGACUUAUUGGCUGGCAUUGAACAAAAUCUAGUACUUCAUAUUUCUAGUGGUAGUUCUUCAUUUUCUACUGAUGCUGCUGUUCACAUUAAAACAUCUCGAGGUUUAAAGUUGAAGGAUGAAAAUUCCACUUCUGAUUGGUCUGAAGAUAUUAAUAUCAGCCUUCCAGAUCUGAAGCCAUUUAGUUCCAUUGACAUUCCUAUGAAAGCUGUUGCACAGUUUGGACCACAAAAAAGUGCAAAUACCAUUGAGCAUGUUGCUAGUUUACAGUGCCCAUGGUCAACAAAUCCUGUUAGAAUUUUAUUGCAUUUUUUGCCUCCUUUCUUAGUAUCACAGAAAUUACAUACAUGUGGUAUACGGAAAUAUGUACAGAUAGUCAUACAUGGAAUGAGUCCCAAAAUAUUUUGUUUCAAGAAUACAAAAUUAGAGCCAGUAGACAUGAAAGAUGUUCCUUUGAAAGCACUUUAUUCUGUGCAGGAAUUGAUUGUGAAUGCUGAUCAGACUGCUAGUUACUUGUGGGAGAUAAUGAGUGAAGAACCCGAACAACUGCCCCUUCAUUUUCAUUUUUCAACUGAUUAUGAACUAAAAAAGGACAUAGUUCUUGGUCCAUAUCAAUAUCAUUUUGAAUUUAAAUUGAAUAGUUAUGAGGUGUUGUCAAUGUCGAUGAAUCAGGGAAGCACAGUGUUGUGUUAGAUGUCAUGCCAUUAAUAUCUGGUUUUUUACCUUUGCCUACUGUACGACUAUCAAAAUACAUUCCAGCUGACCAAAGGAAAUCUGUUUCCAGAGAUUCAACUCCCUCAAAAGACAGUGGCAAUUAUAAUGUUGCACGAUUAGAGCCUUUCGACUCAGGUCAGGUUUAUAGUUGGAGCAGAGCCAUGCAAGUUCAUGUCUUGCCAGCUUCCAAUACUUCGAGCUUAGAUGUA